rnacentral:rRNA from 1 species
GACAGAGGAUGGCAAGCGUUAUCCGGAAUGAUUGGGCGUAAAGCGUCUGUAGGUGGCUUUUAAGUCCGCCGUCAAAUCCCAGGGCUCAACCCUGGACAGGCGGUGGAAACUACCAAGCUGGAGUACGGUAGGGGCAGGAGGGAAUUCCGGGUGGAGCGGUGAAAUGCGUAGAGAUCGGAAAGAACACCAACGGCGAAAGCACUCUGCUGGGCCGACACUGACGCUGAGGAGCGAAAGCGUGGGGAGCGAACAGG